rnacentral:rRNA from 2 species
UACGGAGGGUGCAAGCGUUAUCCGGAUUCACUGGGUUUAAAGGGAGCGCAGGCGGACUGGUAAGUCAGUGGUGAAAGCCCUGGGCUCAACCCGGGAACUGCCAUUGAUACUAUCAGUCUUGAAUAUCGUUGAGGUUUGCGGAAUGGGUCAUGUAGCGGUGAAAUGCAUAGAUAUGACCCGGAACACCUAUUGCGAAGGCAGCAGGCUAAGCGAAGAUUGACGCUGAGGCUCGAAAGCGUGGGGAUCAAACAGG